UACGCACAUAUCACGUCGAAACACCGAUUCCCGUACGAUCACCGAAGUUAAGCAAUGUAGAUCCUAAUCGAUACCUAGAUGGGCGAUCGCUUGGGAAUAACAGGUGCUAUA